rnacentral:tRNA from 1 species
GCCGGUGUAGCUCAGCUGGUAGAGCAGCGGUUUUGUAAACCGAAGGUCGGGGGUUCGAACCCCUCCACCGGCA